AAAAACAUCGCCUCCUGCAACACAACCAAGUAUAGGAGGUCCAGCCUGCCCAGUGACUACAAGUUCAACGGCCGCGGUAUUUUGACCGUGCAAAGGUAGCGCAAUCACUUGUCUUUUAAAUAGAGACCUGUAUGAAUGGCUAAACGAGGGCUUAACUGUCUCCCCUUUCCAGUCAGUGAAAUUGAUCUACCCGUGCAGAAGCGGGUAUAAUAAUACAAGACGAGAAGACCCUUUGGAGCUUAAGGUACAAAACUCAACCACGUUAAGCAACUCAAUAAAAAGUGAAAACUUUGUGGAACAUGAGAUUUUACCUUCGGUUGGGGCGACCACGGAGGAAAAAAAAGCCUCCAGGUGGAACGGGAGAAUUUCCUAAAACUAAGAGAGACAUCUCUAGGCCACAGAACAUCUGACCAAAUAUGAUCCGGCUAAUACAAGCCGAUCAACGAACCAAGUUACCCUAGGGAUAACAGCGCAAUCCUCUCCCAGAGUCCAUAUCGACGAGGGGGUUUACGACCUCGAUGUUGGAUCAGGACAUCCUAAUGGUGCAGCCGCUAUUAAGGGUUCGUUUGUUCAACGAUUAAAGUCCUACGUGAUCUGAUUUNCAAAACCGGA
rnacentral:rRNA from 1 species